GGUCACUGCUAUCGGUGUUCGACUAAGCCAUGCGAGUCAAAUGUUCUUCGUGAACAUGGCGUACUGCUCAGUAACACGUGGAUAACCUGCCCCUAGGUCUGGCAUAACCCCGGGAAACUGGGGAUAAUUCCGGAUAGAUCAUAGAUGCUGGAAUGCGCUGUGAUCCAAAGCUAUUGUGCCUAAGGAUGGGUCUGCGGUCUAUCAGGUUGUAGUGGGUGUAAUGUACCUACUAGCCUACGACGGAUACGGGUUGUGGGAGCAAGAGCCCGGAGAUGGAUUCUGAGACAUGAAUCCAGGCCCUACGGGGCGCAGCAGGCGCGAAAACUUUACAAUGCGGGGAACCGCGAUAAGGGGACACCGAGUGCCAGCAUCCUAUGUUGGCUGUCCAUAUGUCUAAAUCACAUGUGUUAGCAAGGGCCGGGCAAGACCGGUGCCAGCCGCCGCGGUAACACCGGCGGCCCGAGUGGUGGCCACUAUUAUUGGGUCUAAAGGGUCCGUAGCCGGUUUGGUCAGUCUUCCGGGAAAUCUGACGGCUUAACCGUUAGGCUUUCGGGGGAUACUACCAGGCUUGGGACCGGGAGAGGUAAGAGGUACUACGGGGGUAGGAGUGAAAUCUUGUAAUCCCUGUGGGACCACCAGUGGCGAAGGCGUCUUACCAGAACGGGUCCGACGGUGANNGACGAAAGCUAAAAGCACNAACCGGAUUAGAUACCCNNGUAGUCCCAGCUGUAAACUAUGCUCGCUANGUNUCAAGACGNUGCGACCGUUUCUAUGCCGCAGNGAAGCC
rnacentral:rRNA from 1 species